AACGCUGGCGGCGUGCUUAACACAUGCAAGUCGAACGGAAAGGCCCUGCUUGCAGGGUGCUCGAGUGGCGAACGGGUGAGUAACACGUGGGUGAUCUGCCCCUGACUUUGGGAUAAGCCUGGGAAACUGGGUCUAAUACCGGAUAUGACCAAGGAUUGCAUGGUUCUUGGUGGAAAGCUUUUGCGGUUGGGGAUGGGCCCGCGGCCUAUCAGCUUGUUGGUGGGGUAAUGGCCUACCAAGGCGACGACGGGUAGCCGACCUGAGAGGGUGAUCGGCCACACUGGGACUGAGACACGGCCCAGACUCCUACGGGAGGCAGCAGUGGGGAAUAUUGCACAAUGGGCGCAAGCCUGAUGCAGCGACGCCGCGUGAGGGAUGACGGCCUUCGGGUUGUAAACCUCUUUCAGCAGGGACGAAGCGCGAGUGACGGUACCUGCAGAAGAAGCACCGGCCAACUACGUGCCAGCAGCCGCGGUAAUACGUAGGGUGCGAGCGUUGUCCGGAAUUACUGGGCGUAAAGAGCUCGUAGGCGGUUUGUCGCGUCGUCUGUGAAAUUCUGCAGCUUAACUGCAGGCGUGCAGGCGAUACGGGCAGACUUGAGUACUACAGGGGAGACUGGAAUUCCUGGUGUAGCGGUGAAAUGCGCAGAUAUCAGGAGGAACACCGGUGGCGAAGGCGGGUCUCUGGGUAGUAACUGACGCUGAGGAGCGAAAGCGUGGGUAGCGAACAGGAUUAGAUACCCUGGUAGUCCACGCCGUAAACGGUGGGUACUAGGUGUGGGUUCCAUUUCACGGGAUCCGUGCCGUAGCUAACGCA
rnacentral:rRNA from 1 species